rnacentral:rRNA from 1 species
CCUACCUUAUACUGGGGAAUAACUUCGAGAAAUCGGCGCUAAUACCCCAUAACAUUGCGAAGAGGCAUCUCUUUGCACUUAAAGCUCCGGCGGUAUAAGAUGGGCAUGCGUCCAAUUAGCUAGUUGGUGAGGUAAUGGCUCACCAAGGCUACGAUUGGUAGGGGUUCUGAGAGGAUGAUCCCCCACACUGGUACUGAGACACGGACCAGACUCCUACGGGAGGCAGCAGUGAGGAAUAUUGCGCAAUGGACGAAAGUCUGACGCAGCCAUGCCGCGUGCAGGAUGACGGCCCUAUGGGUUGUAAACUGCUUUUGUAUGGGAAUAAACCCUUCUACGUGUAGAAGGCUGAAGGUACCAUAAGAAUAAGCACCGGCUAACUCCGUGCCAGCAGCCGCGGUAAUACGGAGGGUGCAAGCGUUAUCCGGAUUUAUUGGGUUUAAAGGGUCCGUAGGCGGGCCGAUAAGUCAGUGGUGAAAGCCCAUAGCUCAACUAUGGAACUGCCAUUGAUACUGUCGGUCUUGAGUAUAUGUGAUGUUGGCGGAAUGUGUAGUGUAGCGGUGAAAUGCUUAGAUAUUACACAGAACACCGAUUGCGAAGGCAGCUGACAAAUAUAUAACUGACGCUGAGGGACGAAAGUGUGGGGAUCAAACAGGAUUAGAUACCCUGGUAGUCCACACCGUAAACGAUGAUUACUAGAUUUUGGCCUUAUGGUCAGAGUCCAAGCGAAAGUGUUAAGUAAUCCACCUGGGGAGUACGUCCG